AGAACGAACGCUGGCGGCAUGCCUAAUACAUGCAAGUCGAACGAACUCUUCGGAGUUAGUGGCGCACGGGUGCGUAACGCGUGGGAAUCUGCCCCUUGGUUCGGAAUAACAGUUGGAAACGACUGCUAAUACCGGAUGAUGACGAAAGUCCAAAGAUUUAUCGCCAAGGGAUGAGCCCGCGUAGGAUUAGCUAGUUGGUGAGGUAAAGCUCACCAAGGCAACGAUCCUUAGCUGGUCUGAGAGGAUGAUCAGCCACACUGGGACUGAGACACGGCCCAGACCUCCGUACGGGAGGCAGCAGGUAGGGAAUAGUUAGGACAAGUGGGACGAAAGCCUGAAUCCAGCAAGUCGCCGCGUGAGUGAUGAACGGUCCGUUAGGUU
rnacentral:rRNA from 1 species